GGAUAGCUUGCUAUUGCUGACGACCGGCGCACGGGUGCGUAACGCGUAUACAAUCUACCUUAUACAGGAGGAUAGCCCUAAGAAAUUGGGAUUAAUACUCCAUGGUAUUCAUUAUUUGCAUGAAUGAUGAAUUAAAGCUUCGGUGGUAUAAGAUGAGUAUGCGUCCUAUUAGCUAGAUGGUAAGGUAACGGCUUACCAUGGCGACGAUAGGUAGGGGGCCUGAGAGGGUUAUCCCCCACACUGGUACUGAGACACGGACCAGACUCCUACGGGAGGCAGCAGUGAGGAAUAUUGGUCAAUGGAGGCAACUCUGAACCAGCCAUGCCGCGUGAAGGAAGAAUGUCCUAUGGAUUGUAAACUUCUUUUAUUUGGGAAGAACCCCCCCAACGAGUUGGGGGCUGACGGUACCAAAGGAAUAAGGACCGGCUAACUCCGUGCCAGCAGCCGCGGUAAUACGGAGGGUCCAAGCGUUAUCCGGAAUCAUUGGGUUUAAAGGGUUCGCAGGCGGUUUAAUAAGUCAGUGGUGAAAUCUCUUCGCUCAACGAAGAAACUGCCAUUGAUACUGUUAGACUUGAAUACAGUUGGAGUAGGCGGAAUGUGUAGUGUAGCGGUGAAAUGCUUAGAUAUUACACAGAACACCGAUAGCGAAGGCAGCUUACUAAACUGAGAUUGACGCUCAUGAACGAAAGCGUGGGGAGCGAACAGGAUUAGAUACCCUGGUAGUCCACGCCGUAAACUAUG
rnacentral:rRNA from 1 species